rnacentral:rRNA from 1 species
CAAUAGUGUAUAUUAAAGUUGUUGCGGUUAAAAAGCUCGUAGUUGGAUUUCUGCUGAGAACGACCGGUCCGCCCUUUGGGUGUGUAUCUGGCUCUUUCUUGGCAUCUUCUUGGUGAACGUUGCUGCACUUGACUGUGUGGAGCGCUACCCAGGACUUUUACUUUGAGGAAAUUAGAGUGUUUCAAGCAGGCAUACGCCUUGAAUACAUUAGCAUGGAAUAAUAAGAUAGGACCUCGGUUCUAUUUUGUUGGUUUCUAGAGCUGAGGUAAUGAUUAAUAGGGAUAGUUGGGGGCAUUCGUAUUUAACUGUCAGAGGUGAAAUUCUUGGAUUUGUUAAAGACGGACUACUGCGAANGNAUUUGCNAAGGAUGUUUNCAUUG